rnacentral:rRNA from 1 species
UACGUAGGUGGCAAGCGUUGUCCGGAAUUAUUGGGCGUAAAGCGCACGUAGGCGGAUUGUUAAGUCAGGGGUGAAAUCCUGGAGCUCAACUCCAGAACUGCCUUUGAUACUGGCGAUCUCGAGUCCGGGAGAGGUGAGUGGAACUGCGAGUGUAGAGGUGAAAUUCGUAGAUAUUCGCAAGAACACCAGUGGCGAAGGCGGCUCACUGGCCCGGUACUGACGCUGAGGUGCGAAAGCGUGGGGAGCAA